rnacentral:rRNA from 1 species
CGGUCCCAGUUCGGAUUGUAGUCUGCAACUCGACUACAUGAAGUCGGAAUCGCUAGUAAUCGCAGGUCAGCAUACUGCGGUGAAUACGUUCCCGGGCCUUGUACACACCGCCCGUCACACCACGAAAGCUGACAACACCCGAAGCCGGUGAGCUAACCGAAAGGAGGCAGCCGUCGAAGGUGGGGUUGGUGAUUGGGGUGAAGUCGUAACAAGGUAGCCGUAUCGGAAGGUGCGGCUGGAUCACCUCCUUUCUAAGGAGCAU